AAGCUCUGGAAGGGAGGCUUACUGGUCAACAGGUACGAGGCUUACUGCCGAACCUUAAAGCAGAGGGCUUGUGUAAAUGGGCCUCAGAACUCUGAUGACAUCCUUGUUGUACGUGGUCCUGCAUUCUAAGGAACAUGCUUCGAAGAGUUGAUAUGAAGCGUGCCUAAGAUCGAAUUAAAUGCAGUUAUCUGAUUGAGGUUCUAACUCAUUGUGGGUUCCCUUGCAAGUUUAUUGAGUGGAUCAUGAUGUGUGCCUAGUUUUCUUCUUCUUUAGGAUUGUGACAGGGCUAUCCAUUAUCUCCUUUCCUUUUUGUUCUAGGCUCCGAUAUGUUAUCCAGGUCUAAUCGGAUGGCGAUAUUAAGGUAUACCAACCAGGAACAGGACGCCCUUUCAUUUCUCAUUUAAUGUUUGCCGAUGAUAUCCACAAAUGCUGUUGCCCUUACGGUCUUAUGUAUAAUUAUUAUCUUCAGUUUGGGC
rnacentral:lncRNA from 1 species